CUCUGUUCUUAGAAAACAAUGAGCUGUCUCCUUGCCAACCAGCAGCUCCCUUGGUAGGGGCAUGCAGAAGACCUGAUGACACAAACCCUCCAAAGAGUUUCACCCUCACCACAACAGGUGGCUUCCUGCUCGGCAGCCCAUCCUGCAUCACUUCAGUGGACUUCUCUGACAUCUACUAGACCACAUUAAAUGAAUCACAGCCUUGAAACUGAACUGGAAGGACUUCCUUCAAGGAGCCAGCAUAUGAACUUGCUGCCUAUCUUUAGCAAGGAGAUGCAAAUGACAUCCACAAACCUCUUCUGCUGUAUACCUGGAUGAAAGCAAGGCUAGCUGUGUGUCCUAUGGCACCAAGGACUGAAAGAUUGUAAGAAGUAAGAGGGAAAGUGAUCCAAAAAGGUGGAACACCUAAUGUACAGCCCCAAGGAAGGAGCAUACUUGGAGAAUUCAAGGAACAGAAAGAAAAACAGGAAGGCUGGAGUGAAACUGAUUAAAUAAAGCAUCGUAACAUUAGAGGUCCAUCAUAGAGGCCAAGCCAAAUACAACUAUGUUUUCAAGCAUAAGAUGGAUAGAUGUGGUAAACCACAAGAAGCAAACAGCCCUUUAGAGGUGUGGAUUGACCUUGCAGAGUUACAAGUGGAGCCAGGAGAAAUCAUGUUGAGUGGGACUUCUCAUCCUACCUAAGAGAGACUAACAGAUGGAAAGCUGGGUACAGAAGGGAGAGAAGGCAGUAACAGUCAGAUUUCAAUACGCUGAGACUGUGACGUGGGACUUUUGAGUGAGUAACAUCUGCUCCUAGAACUGAGUUGAGUGGGGAUCCUCCCACACCACCCAGGCAAGAGAACUAACAAUUGAUGACUGCUCCAAAUCAGUCGCCAGUCUACCUAAUACUUCUACCUGCUUUGCCAGAAGUGCUCUUCCUCUCUGUCCAGUGGGCAAGCACCAAUUCAUUUUCAAACUCUCCACUGAAGCAUCAAUUUUCUGUAAUGCCUUUCUUGACCUCAGAUGUGAUGCCAGAAGUAGAGCAGCCAUCUUGCAACCACAAAGCAACAGCAUGAGUAUGAAAGUUAGUGCAUUAAGGAUGCUGGAAUAGAAUGAUUGAAAGCCAGAUGCCUAAUGACGUUGCUGAAUAGCUGAAACAAUACCAGCAACUAGCUGACAAGGUCUUGCUCUGUUGCCUGGCCUGAAGUGCAGUGGCAUGAUCAUGGCUCACUGCAGCCUCAACCUCCCAGGCACAAGUGAUCCUCCCACCUCAACUUCCAGAAUAUAGAAGCUGGAACUACAGUGACCUACAUCCAAAGUGAAAAGUUAUUCAGCCUCUGAAGAGAAGCAUUUUGUUUGGGGAUCUUCAAGUAUGCUUGUCAGCACCGAGAACUGGAAAAAAAUCUCUGAUUGUCCUGCAGCAAUGGCAUUAAAGGCUCCUCAUAACAUACAGAACCAGAAUUGUGCCAUAAUUUACUGAAAUUGAACAUUGCUCUGUGACUGCUAAUUUUCCAUCGAGAUGAUUCUGUCUCUAACCAAGAAAAGAAAAGUUUGUCUUCCUGACUGCUGACACUGCUGACCAAGCCCACCACCAGAUGCCUGGCUGCACACCCAGAGGGCAGCCGCUUCCCGUGGUCCUCUCGAAGAACUUCCCUUUUGCAAUGCAUGUUUAGCAAGUGGAUGAGUUUGUCUUUUCUGAUUUCUCUGCAAGCUCUGCAUUGCCCACCUGAACCAGUGCUUCAGAAGAACUAAUGGGAUCUCUGACCCUCCAACAUCCUCUUCCAGACUUUCACUUUCCUGGCUCCUUGCAGGGACAUGUAAUAAACGUGCUCUCCAGA
rnacentral:lncRNA from 1 species